CGGUAACUAGGUUGUUGCCUACUCUCUGGGUGAGGUAGUAGGUUGUAUAGUUGAGAGCUAUACCUUAGGGAGAUAACUGUACAACUUGCUAACUUUCCCAGGGGUGGGAGAAACACACCGGUCUGGCA
rnacentral:pre_miRNA from 14 species